GCCGGGGUGGCGGAACGGUAGACGCGGGGGACUUAAAAUCCCUUGGGCCGAGCGCCCGUGAGGGUUCGAUUCCCUCCCCCGGCA
rnacentral:tRNA from 1 species